UACGUAGGGUGCGAGGGUUGUCCGGAUUUAUUGGGCGUAAAGAGCUCGUAGGCGGUUUGUCGCGUCGGCCGUGAAAUCUCCACGCUUAACGUGGAGCGUGCGGUCGAUACGGGCAGACUUGAGUUCGGUAGGGGAGACUGGAAUUCCUGGUGUAGCGGUGAAAUGCGCAGAUAUCAGGAGGAACACCGGUGGCGAAGGCGGGUCUCUGGGCCGAUACUGACGCUGAGGAGCGAAAGCGUGGGGAGCGAACAGG
rnacentral:rRNA from 1 species